rnacentral:rRNA from 1 species
GACGAACGCUGGCGGCGUGCUUAACACAUGCAAGUCGAACGAAGAGCGAUGGAAGCUUGCUUCUAUCAAUCUUAGUGGCGAACGGGUGAGUAACGCGUAAUCAACCUGCCCUUCAGGGGGGGACAACAGUUGGAAACGACUGCUAAUACCGCAUACGAUCUAAUCUCGGCAUCGAGGAUAGAUGAAAGGUGGCCUCUACAUGUAAGCUAUCACUGAAGGAGGGGAUUGCGUCUGAUUAGCUAGUUGGAGGGGUAACGGCGCACCAAGGCGAUGAUCAGUAGCCGGUCUGAGAGGAUGAACGGCCACAUUGGGACUGAGACACGGCCCAGACUCCUACGGGAGGCAGCAGUGGGGAAUCUUCCGCAAUGGACGAAAGUCUGACGGAGCAACGCCGCGUGAGUGAUGACGGCCUUCGGGUUGUAAAGCUCUGUUAAUCGGGACGAAAGGCCUUCUUGCGAAUAGUGAGAAGGAUUGACGGUACCGGAAUAGAAAGCCACGGCUAACUACGUG